rnacentral:rRNA from 1 species
UACGGAGGAUGCAAGCGUUAUCCGGAAUGAUUGGGCGUAAAGCGUCCGCAGGUGGCAAUGUAAGUCUGCUGUCAAAGCGUCUGGCUCAACCAGAUAAAGGCAGUGGAAACUACAUAGCUAGAGUAAGGUAGGGAUAGAGGGAAUUCCUGGUGUAGCGGUGAAAUGCGUAGAGAUCAGGAAGAACACCGGUGGCGAAAGCGCUCUGCUGGACCUUAACUGACACUGAGGGACGAAAGCUAGGGGAGCGAAUGGG